ACUCAAAGGAAUAGACGGGGGUCCGCACAAGCGGUGGAACAUGUGGUUUAAUUCGAAACUACGCGAGGAACCUUACCUGGGCUUGACAUGUAAUCGCUACCGGUGGAAACAUUGGGUUCUGUAGUAAUACAGACGGUUACACAGGUGCUGCAUGGCUGUCGUCAGCUCGUGUCGUGAGACGUCGGGUUAAGUCCUUGAACGAGCGCAACCCUUGCCGUUAGUUGCACGUCCGAAAGGAAUGCACUCUAGCGGGACUGCCUAGGAAACUAGGAGGAAGGUGGGGAUGACGUCAAGUCCUCAUGGCCCUUAUGCCCAGGGCUACACACGUGUUACAAUGGCGAAGAACAAAGGGGUGCGAAGUCGCGAGAUGGAGCAAAUCCUGUAAAAUUCGUCUAAGUUCAGAUUGAAGUCUGCAACUCGACUUCAUGAAGUUGAAAUCGCUAGUAAUCGUAUAUCAGAACGAUACGGUGAAUACGUUCUCGGACCUUGUACACACCGCCCGU
rnacentral:rRNA from 1 species